rnacentral:rRNA from 1 species
CCUACGGGGUGCAGCAGUAGGGAAUAUUGCUCAAUGGUGGAAACCCUGAAGCAGCAACGCCGCGUGGAGGAUGAAGGUUUUCGGAUUGUAAACUCCUUUUUUUAGAGAAGAUAAUGACGGUAUCUAACGAAUAAGCACCGGCUAACUCCGUGCCAGCAGCCGCGGUAAUACGGAGGGUGCAAGCGUUACUCGGAAUCACUGGGCGUAAAGAGCGCGUAGGCGGGAUAGCAAGUCAGCUGUGAAAUCCUAUGGGUUAACCAUAGAACUGCAUUUGAAACUGUUAUUCUCGAGUAGGGGAGAGGUAGGUGGAAUGCUUGGUGUAGGGGUAAAAUCCGUAGAGAUCAAGAGGAAUACUCAUUGCGAAGGCGACCUGCUAGAACAUAACUGACGCUGAUGCGCGAAAGCGUGGGGAGCAAACAGGAUUAGAUACCCGAGUAGUC